UGGUUUCAAGCCAGGCAUUGGUAGUUC
rnacentral:sRNA from 1 species